rnacentral:rRNA from 1 species
CGUCAAAUCAUCAUGCCCCUUAUGUCUUGGGCUACACACGUGCUACAAUGGGCGGUACAGACGGAAGCGAAGCCGCGAGGUGAAGCAAAACCGAGAAAGCCGUUCCCAGUUCGGAUUGUAGGCUGCAACUCGCCUGCAUGAAGUCGGAAUCGCUAGUAAUCGCAGGUCAGCAUACUGCGGUGAAUACGUUCCCGGGCCUU